UGGGGAAUAUUGGACAAUGGGCGAAAGCCUGAUCCAGCCAUGCCGCGUGUGUGAAGAAGGUCUUCGGAUUGUAAAGCACUUUAAGUUGGGAGGAAGGGCAGUAAGCGAAUACCUUGCUGUUUUGACGUUACCGACAGAAUAAGCACCGGCUAACUCUGAGCCAGCAGCCGCGGUAAUACAGAGGGUGCAAGCGUUAAUCGGAAUUACUGGGCGUAAAGCGCGCGUAGGUGGUUCGUUAAGUUGAAUGUGAAAGCCCCGGGCUCAACCUGGGAACUGCAUCCAACACUGGCGAGCUAGAGUAGGGCAGAGGGUGGUGGAAUUUCCUGUGUAGCGGUGAAAUGCGUAGAUAUAGGAAGGAACACCAGUGGCGAAGGCGACCACCUGGGCUCAUACUGACACUGAGGUGCGAAAGCGUGGGGAGCAAACAGG
rnacentral:rRNA from 1 species